GACGAACGCUGGCGGCGUGCUUAACACAUGCAAGUCGAGCGGUAAGGCCCUUUCGGGGGUACGACGAGCGGCGAACGGGUGAGUAACACGUGGGUGACCUGCCCUCCAGCUCUGGGAGUAAGCCUGGGAAACCGGGGUACUAAUAACUGGAUAUGACUCCAUGACGCAUGUUGUGGGGUGGAAAGCCUUGUGCGGCUGAGGAUGGG
rnacentral:rRNA from 1 species